AGAGCAACACAUAUACAGAAGGACUUCCCACACCUGUGGCUAUGUUGGUAUCCAUGGGCCUUGCUGCCAUGGGAGCCAUGCCAAUUAGAGUGGCCUGCAAAGCCACAUGGGCCUGGCCCAGGCUGUUGCUGUAGGCCAUGUCUGGGUCUGUGGCCCCAACAGCAGCCAGGGUCUGGGCUAGUAUCCACAGCUCAUUUUUCUAUAGGAAGUCAUAGUAACCAUACAUGUUGAAAUCUGAGGGCUGUGAUGAUCCAGCCCUGUCCCUCACUGGCCCCAGAAUAGCUGGCUCUGCUCCUUGCUAGACACUGCAGCAGGAGAGCUGGCCCCACCCCUGUCAUGGGAGAGCUGACACCAGCACUCAGGAGAGAUGGUCCCGAUCCUCACCACAGGCAUGGGAGAGCUGGUCCCAUGGCAUGGGCCUAGGAGAGCUGACUCUCCUCCUCACCUAAGGGGGUGGUCCCAAAGGCCCAGACCAACCAGCUCGGCUACUACCCAGACCCGUGUCAUAGGCCUUGGGUUGGCCCACCCUAACAUCUACCCCAUUUGUGACCUGCUAGAGUGUGCGAAGGGACUGCCUAUGGAACAAUAACCACAGGACAUCCAUGACUCAGGACAACAGCAUAUCUAAGAGGAGUUUCUAUGAGGGCCCAGUGAUGAUGGUGCACCAGACUCCAGAGGCCUUGAACCAGACCAGAGACUCAUUGCAAUGGGGCUGAUUGGACAAAGGGGUAUACUGCAUGGCAUGUCACAGCUCCUGGUGCCACCCAGAGGAAAGAUGAAGGAGUUAGCAGGUAGUCAAGUAGACUGAACUCAGACAGCAUCCUCAGCCUCUGUGAAGAACAAGUGGACUUGAGUUCGUUCAGCUUUAUCUGGGCUGUUUAGAGAUGGUGCUACAGCUACAUCAUUCAAAGGCAUAGAAGAAGCAAGUGCAACUGAGUCAUGAAGACUUGCUGCUCCAAGGUUCUGGAAAGCACCUGAAUCCUGGCACUGUGUGGUAUGGUUGAAUUCUUUGGAAAGAGACCCAGGGAAGCCAUUUCAUGGAGCUGGGAAGGUAAAGUCUAAAUGAUAGCAGAGACCAGGAUGUUGGAAAUUCUAGAACUGUGCUUAUCCACCGAGGAAAUCUUGCAAGCAGAAAGUGGAACAGGCCCAAGACAACAGUCCCCUGUGCUGUAGGUGACAGAACUGGUGCUGGUGCUGCCCAAAUUUCGAGCUCAGACGACUCUAUCAUGAGUUCUACAUGCUAGACAUGGAGCUGUAGGAUUAGGUAGUUGUUCUGCUGCAUUUUUGGUUAGCUUUAAUCCAACCUUUUCUUGCUAUUCUCCUAUUAUUUCCCCUUUAUGAUAGGGAUGUUUAUUUCUUUAUUAUUAUAUAUUAGAAGUAUUCAACUUGUGCUUUGAUUCUAUAGGUGCUCAAAGUUAAAGGGUAGGCUUGACUCUCAGAAGAGAAUUUGAGUUUUUGAGCAGAGCUGUAGCUGUGAAAGGCUGUGGGAGAUAGACCAAAUGCAUUCUGACAUUAGCAUGAGACUUUAGGAACGGGGCUAAGGUAAUAUGUUUGGUUGUUGGGUUGACAGGAGUGGAAUUGAAAUGAUUAAUUUUCAUUGCCAAUUUAAUAGAAUUUAGAAUUACCUAUGAGACAGCUCUGUGCUUGUGUGUAAAUGCAAUUUUAAACAGAUUUACCUUAGAAGGAAAAAUUUUCCUUAAAUAAAGUCUAAUAUGUUCUUUAGUUUGUUCUUAGUCUUUUCUAGAACAAGGAGUUAAUUCUGUUAACUCUAAUUUAAAAAAUCAUGACCUCAUUCUUCCCAUGUUCGGAGAACCUGAUUGAAGCUGAAUUCAAAUGUAAUAAACAAAAAAAUAUGAACUAUGAGCUGGAGUCCCAGACCAAAUAAAAAGGAGAAAGUGAGAGGAGCACCAGCAUCCAUCUCUUUGUUUCUUUCUUCUAUUUACGUCAGGUGGGUGUGUUUCUGUUUGUCUGUUUAUUGGUUUUCUAUUCAUUUCUAAUUUGUGUCUUAUGUAACCCCAGUAGCACAAUCUCAAUAGAUGCUGUCUAUAUAAUAAAUAGUAAUAUCUGCUAGAGUGAUUAUCCCUAGUUUAUUCAUUCGAAUAUGUUUUGGCUAUUCUCAUGUCUUUACUUUUCCUUAUAUGUUGUGGAAUAAACUUGGAUAUAUCUAUGAGAAAUCUCAUGAAUUUUUGAUAGUAAUUAUAUUAUACUAUAUAUACUUAUAUAAUUAUAUAGAGAUCAUUUUGAGAAAAAUGCACCUUUACUAUGUUAACUAUUCUCUGUUGAGUCAUAUUCUCACUAUAUACUUCAGCCUUCUAAUGUGCUGUGUAACACAGGGUGACCUUGAGCUAAUGGCAGACCUGUCUUCGUCUUCUGAGGUCUGAAGGUGUGUGCCACCAUGCUAUGCAAAAGCAGGGUACAAAUGUGGUAUCUUUUCUGUCAUUUUGUAUCUGUCUCCUUUACUUUGAGUUAUUGAGUAUUCUUGUGAAUGAAUAAUAUGUCUCUCCAUUAAAAAUAAUCAUUGCUUAUUUACUUUUAUCAGGAUUUUA